UUGAAACUCAAAGGAAUUGACGGGGACCCGCACAAGCGGUGGAGCAUGCGGUUUAAUUCGAAGCAACGCGAAGAACCUUACCAAAUCUUGACAUCCUUUGACCACUCUAGAGAUAGAGCUUUCCCCUUCGGGGGACAAAGUGACAGGUGGUGCAUGGUUGUCGUCAGCUCGUGUCGUGAGAUGUUGGGUUAAGUCCCGCAACGAGCGCAACCCUUAAGCUUAGUUGCCAUUAUUAAGUUGGGCACUCUAGGUUGACUGCCGGUGACAAACCGGAGGAAGGUGGGGAUGACGUCAAAUCAUCAUGCCCCUUAUGAUUUGGGCUACACACGUGCUACAAUGGACAAUACAAAGGGCAGCUAAACCGCGAGGUCAUGCAAAUCCCAUAAAGUUGUUCUCAGUUCGGAUUGUAGUCUGCAACUCGACUACAUGAAGCUGGAAUCGCUAGUAAUCGUAGAUCAGCACGCUACGGUGAAUACGUUCCCGGGUCUUGUACACACCGCCCGUCACACCACGAGAGUUUGUAACACCCGAAGCCGGUGGAGUAACCAUUUAUGGAGCUAGCCGUCGAAGGUGGGACAAAUGAUUGGGGUGAAGUCGUAACAAGGUAACC
rnacentral:rRNA from 1 species